AUGAGGAUACAGAGACAAACAGGGUUAAGUGACUUGCCCAGGGUCACACUGCUAGCAUUGGAGGCCAGAUUUGAACACAGAAAGAUGAAUCUUCCUGACUUCACACCCAGCACCCUAUGCACUGCCUCACCUAGCUGUCCUGAAAGCAGAGCAAUUGUCCUGCAUAUUCAACUCCUAAACCUGAAAACAGAAUCAACAAAGGGAGGACAAUUUGUGUAUGGAUAUUGCUAUUUCCCAGCCUGCCUGCCUGUCUGACUCCUUUUCCCACUGGAUACUCAGUUAUAAAGGACAUCUAGUGGUAAGCUGGCAGUAGCACCAGCUCCCUGAGGUGCUGGUGACUUGGAAAGACAUUUCUCUCUCUUUAGGGAAAGCUGAACUUUUCUUCGUGGCCUAUGGAUGCUGCUUGGAAAAACGACUAAGGGCCACCAGCUCCCUAUCUGCAAAUAUUCUGAGGGGGGAAAAGCAAUGAAAGGAGUCUCGCCUGACAGAUUUCAGGAAUACAAGGUGAAAUGCAAAUGACAAGCAGAAUUUGAGAUCAGUUCUAAUGACUACUGUAGACCAUCAAUCAGUUAAUAAACAUUUAUUAAAUGCUGCUAUGUGCCA
rnacentral:lncRNA from 1 species